rnacentral:SRP_RNA from 1 species
CGGUGGGUCUAGGCGGGGGGCUAGGGGUCCCCUGAAAACCCUUCACGGGUUUGACCGCAAACCCCCUACAUGGCGGGCCGAAAGCUGGAGUGAGGCGCACCCAGCCCCACCCAAAAUCAGCCAAACCUUCCCAUGAACAUCUGUCCUCCAGGGUCCGCGGAAGCAGUCGCCUCAACCGUAGGGUUGGGGUGGCUGCUUUACCAGACAAACCUGGCUAGGCCCGGGAGGGAGCAACCUAAGUCUGGACGUUGGAUGCUUGGAGGGGUGCGGGUGUGAGGGAGGAUGUCUGAUUGGGGUGGGGUAUGGGCGUCGAACUCCAGGACCCACCG